AAAGAGCAUGGGUUCUACAAACAAUGCAGUCGUGAAAUCCGCUGUGCAAGUGGUUCACUUGCUCUCGGCUAACGAGAUCUGUGUUCGAAGCAUGGCGCAGGUCAGCGACUGUAUCAGUCACAUGAUCAAGGGAAUGGAAGCGAGGCCAGAUGUCGUGGGUGUGGCAUGUGAAGCACUUCACAGAAUGUUUGACAAGAAUCACACAGAGCUUGUAGCACAGGUAAAUAAGAA